rnacentral:rRNA from 1 species
CAUAAUUUCAUUUCGAUUCCUUCCUUUUAGCAUUCUUAUUCAAACAAGCCAAGGACAUGGGGCUGGACGAAAUAGAUGAAAGCAAGAAGGAGCAACAGCGGCAGACAAGGAUGAAGAUGUUGAUGUCAUGGUUGCCACUGCUAUGCAGAGCAAGCAAUGGAACAGAUGCCCCCGUUCUAAGCCUCAGUGAAAGAGCUGAACUGGAGAGAGUGUUGGAGCAAACAAUCGAAAUGCUGGGACAGGAGGAGGAGCAGGAAGAAGUGCUCUCCCAGUGGCUUCACCACUUCAUGUAUUGCCCAUCAUCCGACUGGCCUAAUCUUCAUGCCUCCUACACACGCUGGUGUGCUGCUUCUCGCAAGCUGUUACUUCUUCAGUGAAUGUGUAGCUGAAUUAGUCUUCCAGAAGAAGAUUCUUCACUAGCUAGAAAGUACAAGGUUUGUAGGUAUUGAUACCGCAGUAGCAUUUUAAG